AAAAGUUCUGCAGUAACUGCAGGUUAGACAAGCAAGCAACUAAAUUAGAUUUUCUGUUUCACUUUGAAGGUAGAAUGUUUCAUACUUUGUAAAACUUGCCUGGUUGGUGUUACACACUGAUCUCAUUCUUUUGAGAACUCAAAGAGAAACUACAUGAGAUUUUUUUGGGUAGUUAUAGAUAUAAUAGUUAUAAAAAAUUUGGUAGCUUAUUUGUGAGCGUUAUGGCAUAUAAAUUUAACCACUUCUUGAAUACCAUGAAUUUUUUUUACAAUCACAUCAGAUUUAGAAAGGAUUGACACAUCUGCGAUGGUGACACACCAAAACAGAAUUCAAGUUUCUGUCCAGUGGACCCAUAAGGAUGCAGAUGCACUAUGUAGAUUCAGCCAUUUGAUUUCAAAUUGUAAACACACUAGCCAUCUUAUCAUUUAUAAAGUUGCAUCCAAACAGUUGCUGGAUCCUAAAAUUCUUAAUGCUGAAGGAUGUUUAGUUUAAUUCAGAUAUCAAAAUUAAACAGAAAGGCAAUUAAUAGUCAUAGCUUUCUUUUUUGGUUAUUUGUUCCUUUCCAUGUAAAAUUAUGCCAUUUGAAAUUUGCUUAGUUUCUCUCAACUGCAGUUUCCUGAUGUUCAAAUAAUACCGCACUUACUUAAGACUCAUGAAGAUUUCACUCGAAUCCAAUUUGAUAUGAACAGGACUAUUUCCUUUGUCACUAAAUUUUUUAAAUCUCACAAAAAGGUGAUUUCUUUUUCUGUAUAGGAUAUGUCACUGUCUACAGUUGAACUCCCUUUUAUAGCAUAUUGCAUUAAAUUUUAGAGUUCUGAGUUCUUGCCUCUGUGUCAUUACUAUUGAUUGCAAAGUUUCAGUUAGUUUUUGACGGCCAUCAGUAUUUAUCGGGAUAAUUAGCUUUAAAAUGCUUUAUUUGACAUCAUCUUUCUUUACCAGAGUUUCUGAACCUUGGUCCUUUCCUGGUUUAAGCUGUUUAUAGGGAAUCAUGUCGGUUUGGUUUUCACUAAAUUGACCACCGAUUUAUUCAAGAAAAUUCAUGUAGGAAACUGCAUGGCCAUCUUAUUUCUUCACAUUGCACCAUCCAAGACCAUAUGCUGGUGAACCAGAAUGUAUAUAUGAAUCACAUGCAAUGCUGCCAUCACCAGAUAAGUUCUUCUCAAUAUAUUACCUGAAGACUUCAAUGUACACUAUCUGUUGUUUCCUAAUGAUCAAACAAGAAACAAUAUGGAUGACACAGGUCUCUACAUAUUAUAAAACAUGGUUUCUUCAUAUACAUGGCUUCAUGUAUUAUAUUUGUUCCCGAGUUUAAGCAUAUUACAGUCAGUUUCUUUCUUUUCCAUGGUUCUGCAGAUUGCUGCUGUGUAUAUGACAAAACCAAAAAGAUGGAUUUGCUAAUUUUUACGUCCAACCAUUACUCAUGAUUGUGUGAAGAUGGCAACACAAUUCUUUGUUGUGAUGAUUGCUUUCUUUCUUUCGAUUGAUCUUUAGAACAAAAUAAAUAAAAACAAGCAGACAGAUCUUACUUGGCACAUCAAACGUGUCUUGGUGAAACAUUCCUGCGGUUUUCCUUCCUUGAGCCACUUCCUGAUGUCUCCUGCCUUGUCCAAUGUCACAG
rnacentral:lncRNA from 1 species